AGAUCAACUGCUAUUGACAUUUCUGAAUUGGGACAAAUGACAAAUUAUUUGGGAGAAAAACGUUUGCAACACAUCCAUUCUAGAGUGCUGUGAAGGAUUAAACUGACAAGCUUGAUGAGGACACAGUCAAAGCUAAAAAAUGCCUUGUGAUAAAGCAGUCUUCAAUUACUACAGUGUCGGAAUUGCACGAAGAAGUGACCCUCACUUAAACAUGUGACAUAAACUGUUUUGUGUUUAGGUUAAGCUAUUUGCAGGUUUAUCUUGAGUUGGUUAAAUUGCACUUAGGCAUUUUUUUUCAGUAACUUUUUGUACAGAGAAUUACAUUAUUGUUUGUAAUUGAUUGUUAUAUAAUCAUUGAUUGCAUUUUCAUAGUGUACUUUUCAUUGAUACAUGUAAUGUACAA